GACAGAGGCCCCGAGCGUUAGGCGGAAUCACUGGGCUUAAAGCGUGUGUAGGCGGAAGAGUAAGUGUCUUGUGAAAUCCCACGGCUCACCCGUGGAACCGCUGGGCAUACUGCUCUUCUUGGGCCGUUCAGGGGCGACUGGAACAAGCGGUGGAGCGGUGAAAUGCGUAGAUAUCGCUUGGAACGCCGAAGGUGAAAACAGGUCGCUGGGGACGCGCCGACGCUGAGACACGAAAGCCAGGGGAGCAAACGGG
rnacentral:rRNA from 1 species